rnacentral:lncRNA from 1 species
CAACUCAUCCCUCUCCUUCUUUAAAGCUUCAACCUCCUUCCGGGUUAAGUAAGGUCCUUAAGGUACUCCGACAGGCGAGCCUUUUCAGCCUCAAGCGUCUCAAUUUCCCUCUUCAAAGCCUCAAUAGCUUCAUUGCGGCUUAUAACCUCCAAGGAGCACCGCUCCUCCAGGACGGCAGCCAUAUGAUGACCCUAAUCAGAAUAACAAAAGUCAGAACCUCCGAGUGGAAAAUGUCGAAGGAAAAUAAAACAAAAGCAAAACUUACAAGGCUAUGGUGCUCAAACUGCAUGCGAAGCAAUGCGUCAUAGUCCAUAUCGCGAAGCUUGUGACGAAAACUAUCUGCAGAACAAAAAGCAGUAAGGAAAAACAUAAGAUAAAAUAAAAAGUAUAAACAACGUAGGCUAGAAAAUAGACCUCCGAUGAAAGAAUGAACCUCACACAGUGCGCUAGUCCAACCUGUGAUCGAAGGAUCAGAAGCACCUACGCAGUAUCAAAGCAUUUUUAAAGCCGCCCAGAGGUAACUAACUAACCUAAGAAGCAAAAACAAAAAAAUAUUUAAAACGUACCAAGACCAAGGACGUUAGCAGGCGAAGGCCUGCUGCCCAGUGCAGAUGGCACAGGAAAACGCAGUGGAGGAACUACAAGUCCUUCCUGCGCAAUGCUAGCUCCCUUGGCUAACUCCUCCACGCUGGCAAGCCCCACGAUAACAUCCUCUACAACAUGUGUAGGAUAAAGCCUC